GUCCACGCCUUAACGAUGGAUACUAAGUGUCGGCGGGUUACCGCCGGUGCCGCAGCUAACGCAGUAAGUAUCCCGCCUGGGAAGUACGGCCGCAAGGUUGAAACUCAAAGGAAUUGACGGGGCCCGCACAAGCGGUGGAGCAUGUGGUUCAAUUCGACGCAACGCGAAGAACCUUACCCAGGCUGGACAUGCAGGUAGUAGAAGGGUGAAAGCCCAACGAGGUAGCAAUACCAUCCUGCUCAGGUGCUGCAUGGCUGUCGU
rnacentral:rRNA from 1 species